UUAGGUUAGGGAGACCCGAUCCAACCCACCUCCAAAGUUUACUUAGAAAAUCUGUUGUUGUGUGUGAAGUGUGUGACCCUGGAUCACUAUUACACAAACCAUGUGUAGUUUUAACAGUAUACGAAUGAGAUUGUUGCUCUCUGAUACAGGGCGCCUGAGGUCCUCCAUGGUUCGUCUCAUUAUUCCAGCGCCAUUGAUAUGUGGUCGGUCCGCUGCAUCUUCGGUAUCCACCCCACUGUAGGAGAGGAAUUGCUAUUGAGACUAAUGUGCCUUGGGGACUUGGGAGAGGUUAAGAGCACCCCGUGUUGGCACAUCCCCUCAUGAUGUUCACGUAUCUGAUUGUUUCACAUUUGAGAUUCAGUGGAGAAGGAACAACGAAUUCCCAUAUGGUUUGUGGGUUUCUGAAACAAAACGAAUUGGAGAAUGCUCUCAACGGAAUGGACCUUCUGAUCAGUCUGCUGGUGUUCCUAGAAAACCAGGAAUGACAAGGCCCAAGGAUGAUUUGUUCAACAUCAAUGCAGGACUCGUCAAGAACCUUUGUGAAGCAAUUGCAAAAUGUUGCCAUCAUCAAUCCUCAACUCCACGGUUCCUAUUGCAGCUGAGGUCUUCAAGAAAGCUGGUACUUAUGAUCCUAUGAAACUUAUGCGUGUUACAAUGCUUGAUGUUGUCAGAGCUAAUACAUUUGUGAACGGAAUGUGAAGUUUCCAUAUCUUCACUGUGAUUCAAGGGUUAGAACUGCUUAUGCUGAUGUCAUGAAGCUUCCUACACAUUAAGUUAAGGCCCUCUCUAAUUAGGUUUUAUAUCAAUUAUGCAUAGCUAUUUUUGCUUUCAUUCAAUGAUCUAAUUCUCCUUAAUUGUUGUGAGAAUUGUCACCCCAAACCUUAUUAUUUAGUAAUUAUACACGACUCGCGUAGCGCGGGUAUGCACCUAGUUUAAUCUAUUUUUGAGGAGGAAAUGUAUGUAUCAAUAUCAUGCACUUUGCGUGUCUUUUUAAGCUCUUUGAAUUCCACUUUUCAAUUAUUCAACAUACCCUCACUAACUACAGUAUCCUUUUUUUGAGACUGCUUCACUCUUUUAAAAGCUAAAUUCAUUAUCCUUAAGAAUCUUAAUUAUUUCGCAUUCCAAGAGAGAAAAAAAAGAAGAAACAAUAAUUCAUUAUCAUUAGGUUGAUUUGAAUCUCGUGAUGUUACACAAAGAAAUGAGAAAUCCAGUAACACACACAAUUUUGACAUCAAGAGAAUGGAGUGAGUUCUCUACAGAUUCACAAACUUAGACAUUAUAAGAGCAUGUCCAACCGUGUACCCCAUUUUGGAUACACAGUUUCCCCAUUGUAGGUCAUAACUCAUAAGUCUCAAAGCCAAUGGGAAUGUGAUCUGCUUAAUGCAGGUGCUUGCUUGUGACAAAUGUAUGCAUCUUUCAUUUUAGAAAUAUGCUAACGCAGGCAUUGAUUGCCAUGUGUGUGUGGGUGCGUCGACAUUCAUAUCCAUGAAGAUUCAUGCAAUUGCAUUGCAGGCUUUCCAACUAUUUGAAAAUUUUGCUUGUUUAAUUGACUGGAAAUGGAAUGGAAGUACUCCCUGAAACAGAUGAGAAAGCAAGAUUCCAAGGAACUUUCAAAUACUGCUGCUAAAGAUUGUAACUGAGGAGGUGAGAGGAGUGACCUGAUAAUGCAUUGAUUCCAUUGAAACAGGUUCUAAGGAAGGUGGUUCCGUUGGCCGCAGCUGGUUGCUGUGAUGUUUGUGAG